CCUCAACUAAACAAGAACAUAAAUGCAAAACGUGUGCCUUCCGCAAUAACAAAUCAAAAAUAGGUACUACUCUUACACAUGUUACAAUGAGUGCAUCUGUCGCCUUUUUACUUCGAAUUGGAGCAUUCCAUAAUUACAUAAUGAAAUCUUAUAAACAUAUGCCUUGGAAAAAAUAUAACACUAUUAUAGAAUGAUAUAAUAAUAUUUCAAAUAUAGCAAUUUAAAAAAAAAGUCAUAAUAUUUAUUGAAAAUAUUUACGAUCCGAUAUCUCACAUUUUACAUAUAGCUGCAGUACAUGAACAUGCAUACCACAGUGAUGCAUUCAAGGUC
rnacentral:lncRNA from 1 species